UGAACGCUAGCGGCAGGCCUACCACAUGCAAGUCGAGCGGAUGAAGGGAGCUUGCUCCUGGAUUCAGCGGCGGACGGGUGAGUAAUGCCUAGGAAUCUGCCUGGUAGUGGGGGAUAACGUCCGGAAACGGGCGCUAAUACCGCAUACGUCCUGAGGGAGAAAGUGGGGGAUCUUCGGACCUCACGCUAUCAGAUGAGCCUAGGUCGGAUUAGCUAGUUGGUGGGGUAAAGGCCUACCAAGGCGACGAUCCGUAACUGGUCUGAGAGGAUGAUCAGUCACACUGGAACUGAGACACGGUCCAGACUCCUACGGGAGGCAGCAGUGGGGAAUAUUGGACAAUGGGCGAAAGCCUGAUCCAGCCAUGCCGCGUGUGUGAAGAAGGUCUUCGGAUUGUAAAGCACUUUAAGUUGGGAGGAAGGGCAGUAAGUUAAUACCUUGCUGUUUUGACGUUACCAACAGAAUAAGCACCGGCUAACUUCGUG
rnacentral:rRNA from 1 species